ACGCUAGCUAUAGGCUUAACACAUGCAAGUCGAGGGGAAACGGCAUUAUGUGCUUGCACAUUUUGGACGUCGACCGGCGCACGGGUGAGUAUCGCGUAUCCAACCUGCCCUUUACUUGGGGAUACCCCGUUGAAAGACGGCCUAAUACCCGAUGUAAUUCAUUGAUGGCAUCAGAUAUGAAUAAAAGAUUUAUCGGUAAAGGAUGGGGAUGCGUCUGAUUAGCUUGUUGGUGAGGUAAUGGCUCACCAAGGCGACGAUCAGUAGGGGUUCUGAGAGGAAGGUCCCCCACAUUGGAACUGAGACACGGUCCAAACUCCUACGGGAGGCAGCAGUGAGGAAUAUUGGUCAAUGGGCGCAAGCCUGAACCAGCCAAGUAGCGUGCAGGAAGACGGCCCUAUGGGUUGUAAACUGCUUUUAUACGAGAAUAAUUUGAUGCACGUGUGCGUUAUUGCAUGUAUCGUAUGAAUAAGGACCGGCUAAUUCCGUGCCAGCAGCCGCGGUAAUACGGAAGGUCCAGGCGUUAUCCGGAUUUAUUGGGUUUAAAGGGAGUGUAGGCGGUUUGUUAAGCGUGUUGUGAAAUUUAGAUGCUCAACAUUUAACUUGCAGCGCGAACUGUCAGACUUGAGUACACGCAACGUAUGCGGAAUUCAUGGUGUAGCGGUGGAAUGCUUAGAUAUCAUGAAGAACUCCGAUUGCGAAGGCAGCAUACGGGAGUGUAACUGACGCUUAAGCUCGAAGGUGCGGGUAUCGAACAGGAUUAGAUACCCUGGUAGUCCGCACAGUAAACGAUGGAUGCCCGCUGUUAGCGCCUGGCGUUAGCGGCUAAGCGAAAGCAUUAAGCAUCCAACCUGGGGAGUACGCCGGCAACGGUGAACUCAAAGGAAUUGACGGGGGCCCGCACAAGCGGAGGAACAUGUGGUUU
rnacentral:rRNA from 1 species